GACGAACCGUACGAACGUUAUUCGGAAUCACUGGGCUUAAAGGGUGCGUAGGCGGCGCGACAAGUUGGGUGUGAAAUCCCUCGGCUCAACCGAGGAACUGCGCCCAAAACUGUCGUGCUCGAGGGAGACAGAGGUGAGCGGAACUUAGGGUGGAGCGGUGAAAUGCGUUGAUAUCCUAAGGAACACCGGUGGCGAAAGCGGCGCGCUGGAUCCCUACUGACGCUGAGGCACGAAAGCCAGGGGAGCAAACGGG
rnacentral:rRNA from 1 species